UUGACCUCAAAUCAGGUAGGACUACCCGCUGAACUUAAGCAUAUCAAUAAGCGGAGGAAAAGAAACUAACAAGGAUUCCCUUAGUAACUGCGAGUGAAGAGGGAAGAGCUCAAAUUUAAAAUCUGGCAGUGUUUUGCUGUCCGAGU
rnacentral:rRNA from 1 species